GCUCUAACCACUGGGAAACCGGCUAGGGCUAAAGUGUGCACUCCGAGCAGCAAGAGUGGCACCACCAACUCCCUCCCCAGGACUGACACCCAGCACCUCAGCACCAGGCACCAGAGCUUCGAGCUGUGUCUAAUCUUGAAAGCUGUUGAAGUUACUGUUGGUUCUGCUAGUAGUAAAGGAGUCUCUUUAAGUUGGCAUCCAGUAAUGGAUAAGAUGGAGUCUAUUGCUUGAGUGCAUUGAUGGGUGUUUAAAGCAUGG